UCCAUCAAGCCAGAAACGAACUCAAUUUUGGCUCAUAGUCUCUGUCUUAAGACUUAGUUUAAGCCAUCGGUCGUUUUCCCCUUCCAUCAAGCCAAAAACAAACUCUACUUUGGGUCAUAGUCUCUGUCUUAAGACUUGGUUUAAGCCAGUGGUUGUUUUCCAUUUGUCUAAAUACUUUGCCAAGGCUUGUGGUGAAGUAAGGAGUCUGUUUUUGAUUCAUAUAACCUGUCUUAAACUCUUUUUCAGCUUUUGGUCCUUCUCUGUCUAG
rnacentral:lncRNA from 1 species